AGAAAAAAGUGCUCUCUCUCUCUCUCUCCUACUUAACACCACUGUCUUGCUUCAAGGGUUGACUUAUUCUAGAUUGCAGAAUAUAGCUAAAUAUGUAACAGGUGGAAUGCAGGAUGUACCAAUCAUCCUGUUUUGUUUCUCUGGUUUAACUUGAUUAACACUUGUGAUUUGGUUGACCCUAAAUUGUAUAUUCUCGUUUUGAACAGUGAGACUGCGGCAUUUCCUUUUACUUGAAUUAUGACCAUCAUCAUGUGUAUCCCCAAAUGUAAAUACUAUAAAGUUGAAUGACGAAAAAAAGGUCAAUUCAUGAUAAUUUUCUAUCUGUGUUAACAUUUCAUUAGUCCUUGUAUGUUACUGUAAUGUCUCAACUAUAACAUCUCAAUGCCAGCUUAGUUACCAGUACAAGUUCUGUCGACCACACUUAUUUGUACCAACCACUUACCCUGGUGUGUUUGUAUGUUGGACUGCUAGGUUUUACUGCUUUGAUCUCUUCAGUUGUUGGUAUAAUAAAGUAGGAAACAACAUUAUAUUCAGUAUGGGUAGGUAUCACUUAUGCUUUUAGAUUUACUGUAGAUAGUUCUUCAAAUAGUAUGAACUGCACAAUAUUAAUUUUGCAAACUAAAAAAACUCAAUCUGAUGGAAUGUGCCUUCUGCAAAAGUAAUAAAAAUCGUCAAUAUAUGGGACUAUCUAUUGUGCUCCCAACCUGUCUAGCCAAUAUCCGAACUUGGUCCUAUUUAUUAGCUAUAUUGUUUAGUACUAAUUUAUUUGGUCCUAUUUAUAGAUCUGCAGCCCGGUCAGUAUUAAUAUUAUAUAGGUCUUGCCAAUGCCAUUACCUAUACUGCAGCCCGGCCAGCUAAAAGAUUAUGAACAAUGCCUUGGGAACACACUACAUGAAGAAGCAAAUGUCGACGUGGAAGCAAUAACAACUGAGAUCGAUGAUGCUAUUCUUCUGAAAUAUAACACAUUAUCACCUCUAUGCUUCUCAUCUGUACCAUUAACUCAUAGCAGCACAUACUGAUAUGUUUGUGUUUCAACAGCUGCACGCCGGACCCAAGACAUGGAGCUACAACUAUUAGUUGAAUUGCAUACUUUUGUAACUGAAAAUGACGAGUUAUGACAACAGAAUAUUGCAACAUGAUUAUAUUGAUGCUCUGUCCUUAGUUGGACCCUAACACAUCUGGUUCUAACACAGGUCCUACUAUAUGUAUCUGUGGUCUUCUUAAGUUUGGUUCACAACAGCAAAGACUUUUGUAACUAGUUCCUGCUGCUUGACUCCUGUCAUCCUGUGUACACCUACUCUUAUUGGAAUAUGGAACCAAAAGACUUUGAGCAAUGAGAUGAAUAUUAAUUUGACUACUGGCAGCUCCUUCACCAUGUGGCUUAUAUCUUAACUGCAAUAAGGGCACCAGUUCUUCUGUUUGUUGUAUUUUGCAUGACCUUGAUGAAAACUGAGUUUUUGCAAUCAAUUCGCUUCUUAUCUGAAGCUAAUGGUAAGGAAUCAUAUGUUGGCAAGAACUGGAUGCCUCCUAAUAAUGAACUCCUCUUUUCUACAUGCAUUCCAUUGGUUUCAGCAUUUUUCAGAUGUCAAAUAGAAUGAGCACAUAAACAAGAUAAAUAACAAAGUCAAGAAUAUCAGCCUUCUUCCAAUGUGAAAUAGAAGCACAAUAUUGAUCAAAAUGACACAACAGAGUUUUUGUUCCAUCAAAUACUAUAAAUGAAACAUCGAGCAAUAUAAAUAGCAGAGUCGUAUACACCAGCUUUCUUCAAAUGUCUAAUAGGUUUUGUUCGAACAAGCAAACAUAUUAAGGAGUGUUAUAAUAUGGUAAUAACAAUAGUCAAGGCAAUAGAUACCAUGUGGUGGCCAUUAUAGAAUGGUAACCAUAAACCAUAGUUCAAAAAAGUGAUUCAUAUUACAAUCUGUAGAAAUUUAAUGUUCCCUUUCAGCAGUUGAUAUGUUCAGUCUCAGCUGAUAUUUCACUACACUUACUACUGAACCCACAACCAUCGAAUGCAUGUAGAAUAUGUGCAAUUGUCGAUGUAAGGUAUUGGUAACUACAGGUUUAUUAUAAUAUCAUAACAAGCUUUUAUCUCGUUGGAUCUUGCCUUGCAAUUUAGAUUCUAUGAUGGUUGAUGUAUAUUUAGGAUUGGGAAAAAAAUGCUUUUAACCUCAUACUAUGCAAGGUAUGUCUUGAUACUGCGGUAGUAACAACAUGGAUGAUUUUCUGACAAUUGCAAUUCAAAUAUUCUGAAUUUUGGAUAUAUUUAGAUAGAAGUACAAAGGAAAAUUGGUAGAUAAAAAAUAUUCUAACAAAGGCAUAUUGGUAGAUUCUGAAUUUUCUACCAAUAUGCUUUUAAUUCUUUCAUGUGCGGUGUCAAGUACAAAGUAAUUACUGAUGAUUUAGAUAGAAGUAUUGAUAGUUCAGUAAGUUGCCAAAGAGAUUUCAAGUUUAUAAAGCUAUACUAGGUAGCCGCUUGGCCAAGGGAAAAGGGAAAAAAACUAAGAUUAAUAUAUUUUCCUCUCAAAAGGAGAGGUGUCAUCCAUGCGUUUGAAAAAGAUAAAUGGAUCACAGAUCAAGAACCAUCUAAAAUAUAACUAUCUUCCCCUAGUUAAAAAAGAUGCAUCUUCCUGGAUAAAAGGGAAUCGUGCCCAAGACUUGCACCAAACCUAGAUUUCCUCUCUGCAUCAGAACAAUCAAGAAACACUACAACCAAUACAAAAGAAAAAAAACUCUCCGAUGUAUAUUGCUGAACAUGUAGGCAAUGGAAGAGAACACAGACAUCGAAGAUGCAGAACCUGCAAGAAAUACACCAAGUUGUUGCCAGGUUAAUCACAGCCAGGUCUCUCCUCGUCAACUAUUGAAACCGCUGGCUCGUAUAUGCCCCCAAAUCAUCAUGCUUGGCACCACCAUGACCCAAAUCAAACCUUAUAUAGAGCCAUCAUGUCCCAGAUUGGGUGAUUCCAUGUUCAACCAUCAUGGAUCUGCAGCUGCUGGAGUUGGUGAAGGAGACGCCGCCCCCCAUCGCCGUCGCAUGCGGCCGGCCGGCUACGCAGCUGCCUGCCUGGCGCCGCCUCAUCUCGUCAUCCCCCUCCUCUUCUCCUUUGCGAGACAAGGGGCAGCGCUUCGUGCUGCGGCGGGGCGGCUCCUCGCAUGCGGCUGCAGGGCAACAUCGCGCGGCAGCGGCGAGAUGCAGUACGACGCUUUGUGCUGCGGCAGGCCACCGGUGCGCAACGGGACAGCGCCUCGCGUGCGGCCGCAGGGCGGUAUCGCGUGUAGGCGGCGAGAUGCGGGCGCGCCUGUGCGCCGGGGCCGCAGCUGCCUCCGGAGUUGAGGGCGCAGCUGGCGCUAUCUGGCCGCCGGCCCUCUGCUCGGGCGCCGGGGUUGAAGCCGCCUCCGCAGUCCUGGGUUUCGCGUGCGGUCCGCCAGCCGUUACCCGCCGCCGACUUGCGUGCUGCUGCUACCAGCAACGCUAGCUCACCACUGCCUGAGAGAAAGGGAAUUGGGUUGCAGCAGCGUUUCUGCUUCGUUUUUUUUGUUAAACAGAUUUGUCUCUCUGUUUCGCUUUCUCUGGCUGGCUUUGUUUAUUACUUUUCCAAUGCCUGUACUCCACCUCUGUUUGUUUGGUUCGUGAUCAAUUUUCCUCUCACUGCUGCUGAUUUCGUUGUGUGUUUUGCUUAGUUCGGGCAUUGAUAUUUUGUUGUGGUUUCUUUGUAUUUCAUUUUUUUAUACUACUGUUUUCUGCAGGUUUCUAGAUAAGGAGGCUCGAAGUGCAAUCGAGUUCAGUUACUUGAGGCAGAGUUUGAGGAGAUUUCUUCAGACAGGACAGUGGAAGUGCAAUCAAGUUCAAUUGCUUACAGGACAGUUUGAGAGAGAUGGAUGCAGAACCAAGAAAAAAGAUGGCAGCUUUUGUGGUUGUGAACCUGGCAGACGAAGGCGACGUCAACAAAUUCGUGCAAUAAACUGUAGCAACAUAACAAAAGGCAACGCGCGCAUGGGCGUGCACAAAUCACUAGUGAGGAGAGAAACAAGGAGGAUCUAUGGCGACGGAGGGAGCUGCUGGUUGCCAAACUGGAAGGGAGGAGGCGUUGGGGAAUGGGGUGAAGAGAAUCUGAUGUCAAGUGGGCCAAGGCUUGUGCAGGCAAGAAGUGGGUCCAUCGAGUAACGUGCUGGGACCAACUCAGAUUCCCUCCCAUCAAGCUGCACGCAUUUUCUCUCACCAUUUACGGUCCAAAAGUUACCUGCUGGGCCGGCACCGCUGCAAAAACCACACUCAGGUA